rnacentral:rRNA from 1 species
GGGUCAGGAGGUUGGUCGUGCCACCGGUACGUACUGGUCUCACUGAUUCCUCCCUCCUGAAGAACCGUAAUGCCAUUAAUUUGGUGUUGCGGGGAAACAGGACUGUUACUUUGAAAAAAUUAGAGUGUUUAAAGCAAGCUAACGCUUGAAUACAUUAGCAUGGAAUAAUGAAAUAGGACGAUCGAUCCUAUUUUGUUGGUUUCUAGGAUUGACGUA